UACGGGGGGUGCAAGCGUUAAUCGGAAUUACUGGGCGUAAAGGGUGCGUAGGUUGUUGUAUAAGUUAUAUGCUAAAUACCUGGGCUUAACCUGGGGAUUGCGUAUAAGGCUGUACGACUAGAGUUCAUCAGAGGGUGUGGGAAUUUCCGGUGUAGCGGUGAAAUGCGUAGAUAUCGGAAGGAACACUAGUGGCGAAGGCGCACACCUGGGAUGACACUGACACUGAGGCACGAAAGCGUGGGUAGCGAACAGG
rnacentral:misc_RNA from 1 species